rnacentral:rRNA from 1 species
GCAAGUCGAGGGGCAGCAUUACUGCUUGCAGUAGAUGGCGACCGGCGCACGGGUGCGUAACGCGUAUACAACUUACCCUUUACAGGGGGAUAGCCCGAGGAAACUCGGAUUAAUACCCCAUAACAUUAUGAUAUCGCAUGGUAUUAUAAUUAAAACUUCGGUGGUAAAGGAUGGGUAUGCGUAAGAUUAGAUAGUUGGUGAGGUAACGGCUCACCAAGUCUACGAUCUUUAGGGGCCCUGAGAGGGGGAUC